GAUGAAGAACGCAGCGAAAUGCGAUACGUAAUGUGAAUUGCAGAAUUCAGUGAAUCAUCGAAUCUUUGAACGCAUAUUGCGCUCUUUGGUAUUCCGAAGAGCAUGCUUGUUUGAGUAUCAGUAAACACCUCAAAGACUUCAAUUUGUUUUGAAUGGCUUUGGACUUGAGCAAUCCCAACACCAGUCUUUACGAUCGGUGGAGGGUUGCUUGAAAUGCAGGUGCAGCUGGACAUUCUCCUGAGCUAAAAGCAUAUUUAUUUAGUCCCGUCAAACGGAUUAUUACUUUUGCUGCAGCUAACAUAAAGGGAGUUUGACCGUAUUGGCUGACUGAUGCAGGAUUUCACAAGGGUCGGCAACGAUUCUUGUAAAACUCGAUCUCAAAUCAAGUAAGACUACCCGCUGAACUUAAGCAUAUCAAAAGCGGAGGA
rnacentral:misc_RNA from 1 species